UACGAAGGUGGCAAGCGUUGUUCGGAUUUACUGGGCGUACAGGGAGCGUAGGCGGUUGGGUAAGCCCUCCGUGAAAUCUCCAGGCUUAACCUGGAAAGUGCAGAGGGGACUGUUCAGCUAGAGGAUGGGAGAGGAGCGCGGAAUUCCCGGUGUAGCGGUGAAAUGCGUAGAGAUCGGGAGGAAGGCCGGUGGCGAAGGCGGCGCUCUGGAACAUUUCUGACGCUGAGGCUCGAAAGCGUGGGGAGCAAACAGG
rnacentral:rRNA from 1 species